AGAGUUUGAUCAUGGCUCAGGAUGAACGCUGGCGGCGUGCCUAAUACAUGCAAGUCGAACGAGGUGCUUUUGUAGCAAUACGAAAGUAUCCUAGUGGCGAACGGGUGAGUAACGCGUUGGUGACCUACCCCAAAGUGCGGGAUAACAGUCCGAAAGGAUUGCUAAUACCGCAUGUGGUCAUUGGAUUUAGAAACUGAUGACUAAAGGAGCAAUUCGCUUUGGGAGGGACCUGCGUCCCAUCAGCUAGUUGGUGAGGUAAUGGCUCACCAAGGCUACGACGGGUAGGGGACCUGAGAGGGUGGCCCCCCACAAUGGAACUGAAACACGGUCCAUACUCCUACGGGAGGCAGC
rnacentral:rRNA from 1 species